GUGAGGAAUAUUGGACAAUGGGCGCAAGCCUGAUCCAGCCAUGCCGCGUGCAGGAAGACGCAUCUAUGGUGUGUAAACUGCUUUUGUACGGGAAGAAACACUCCCUCGUGAGGGAGCUUGACGGUACCGUAAGAAUAAGGAUCGGCUAACUCCGUGCCAGCAGCCGCGGUAAUACGGAGGAUCCAAGCGUUAUCCGGAAUCAUUGGGUUUCAAGGGUCCGUAGGCGGUUUAAUAAGUCAGGGGUGAAAGCCCAUCGCUCAACGAUGGAACGGUCAUUGAUACUGUUAGACAUGAAUUACAAGGAAGUAACUAGAAUAUGUAGUGUAGCGGUGAAAUGCUUAGAGAUUACAUGGAAUACCAAUUGCGAAGGCAGGUUACUACUUGUGGAUUGACGCUGAUGGACGAAAGCGUGGGGAGCGAACAGGAUUAGAAACCCUGGUAGUCC
rnacentral:rRNA from 1 species